rnacentral:RNase_P_RNA from 1 species
UGAGCCGGCCGGGUGGCCGCGGCCCGGGUGGUGCUGCGCACGACGCCGGGUCGAGGAAGGUCGGGACUCCGCAGGGCAGGGUGCUGGCUAACGGCCAGUCGGGGCGACCCGCAGGAAAGUGCCACAGAGAGCAGACCGCCGAUGGCGGGCUCCGGCCCGUACAGGCAAGGGUGAAACGGUGCGGCAAGAGCGCACCAGCGAUCCGGGCGACCGGACCGGCUCGGUAAACCCCACCCGGAGCAAGGCCAAGCGUGGGACACGGGCGGCCCGUCCGCCCCGCACGGGGCAGUCCCCAGGUAGGCCGCGUAGAUGGAUGGCCACCCAGGCCUCUUCAGGCCUGACAGGAUCCCGCCUACAGGCCGGCUCACCGU